rnacentral:lncRNA from 1 species
CAGGACCAGAUGCAGUGGGUUGCAAGUAGAACCAGGAGCAGAGACUGGAUGUGGUGUAUUGUUUCAGAACCUUCCAGCGUGAGUAGCUACCAUAUGGAUACGUAGGCGUGGGAGGCGCCAGGCAGCCCCGGGUCCGGGUGAGAAGAGGCCCCAGAGCUCAGAGUGCCUCAGAUCCCAGUUAGUGAGCGGUGCGGGGGACAUGAAUGAGGGCAGGGCUCCUGACCCCGAAGCCCACGUCUGACUCCGCUGUCCUCUCUGAGACGGGUGCAGAGCCGGGGAGAUUUGGUCCUGUUUGUGCCUUUGUUC